UACGGGGGGAGCAAGCGUUGCUCGGAAUUAUUGGGCGUAAAGAGCGCGCAGGCGGUCGUUCAAGUCGAGUGUGAAAGCCCCCGGCUCAACUGGGGAGGGUCACUCGAUACUGAUCGACUUGAAGGCAGGAGAGGGAAGCGGAAUUCCCGGUGUAGUGGUGAAAUGCGCAGAUAUCAGGAGGAACACCGGUGGCGAAGGCGGAUCUCUGGGCCAUUACUGACGCUGAGGAGCGAAAGCGUGGGGAGCGAACAGG
rnacentral:rRNA from 1 species